UUUUUUUCUUUUUCUUUUUUUCAAUUCUUUUUCAUUGCGUAUCUUUUGAAAAUAAACAUGCUAUGAUGCAAAUGAUGCAGACAAGACUGGCAGGCUGUGUAUCUCGGAACACAGGAUCGAAGCUUCGACUUGAACUUGGAACCACAAUUCAUCUGAAACCCAAAGUCAUCUGAUAAACUGUUAUCUGAAGAACCAAGAGUCACC
rnacentral:lncRNA from 1 species